AAUAUUUGACAAUGGGGGCAACGCUGAUCCAGCCAUGCCGCGUGUGUGAAUAAGGUCUUCGGAUUGUAAAGAACUUUAAGUUGGGAGGAAGGGCUUUAGGCUAAUACCCUGAAGUUUUGACGUUACCAACAUAAUAAGCACCGGCUAACUCUGUUCCAGCAGCCGCGGUAAUACAGAGGGUGCAAGCGUUAAUCGGAAUUACUGGGCGUAAAGCGCGCGUAGGUGGUUCAGUCAGAUGGGUGUGAAAUCCCCGGGCUUAACCUGAGAACUGCUUUCAUAACUGCUGAGCUAGAAUACCGUAGAGAGUAGUGGAAUUUCCUGUGUAGCGGUGAAGUGCGUAGAUAUAGGAAGGAACACCAGUGGCAAAGGCGACUACCUGGAAUGAUACUGACACUGAGGUGCGAAAGCGUGGGGAGCAAACA
rnacentral:rRNA from 1 species